rnacentral:rRNA from 1 species
CCCGGCGACCGGCGCACGGGUGAGUAACACGUAUGAAACCUGCCCGUAGCAGGGGGAUAAGCGGAAGAAAUUCCGUCUAAUACCGCGUAACAACCCAUGGAGGCAUCUCUGUGGGUUUAAAGGAAGCGAUUCCGGCUACGGAUGGUCAUGCGUCGCAUUAGCUUGUUGGCGGGGUAACGGCCCACCAAGGCGACGAUGCGUAGGGGUUCUGAGAGGAAGGUCCCCCACACUGGCACUGAGACACGGACCAGACUCCUACGGAAGGCAGCAG